rnacentral:rRNA from 1 species
UCCCUCGCUGUGAUCGAAUAAGAAUGGAUAAGAGGCUCGUGGGAUUGACGUGAGGGGGUAGGGGUAGCUAU